rnacentral:rRNA from 1 species
GACUUUGAUUUGAAACGCAAGGACUAUGGGUGAGCACGCUUCUGAUUAGGUAGUUGGUGGGGUAACGGCCCACCAAGCCGACGAUCAGUAGGGGUUCUGAGAGGAAGGUCCCCCACAUUGGAACUGAGACACGGUCCAAACUCCUACGGGAGGCAGCAGUGAGGAAUAUUGGUCAAUGGGCGAGAGCCUGAACCAGCCAAGUCGCGUGAAGGAUGAAGGUUCUAUGGAUUGUAAACUUCUUUUGUCCGAGGGUAAAAAAGGCCACGUGUGGCUUCUUGCAAGUAUCGGACGAAUAAGCAUCGGCUAACUCCGUGCCAGCAGCCGCGGUAAUACGGAGGAUGCGAGCGUUAUCCGGAUUUAUUGGGUUUAAAGGGUGCGUAGGUGGUUUGUUAAGUUUGUGGUGAAAGCGUGCGGCUCAACCGUACCAAGCCAUGAAAACUGGCGAACUUGAGUGCAAACGAGGUAGGCGGAAUGUGAUGUGUAGCGGUGAAAUGCUUAGAUAUGUCACAGAACCCCGAUUGCGAAGGCAGCCUACCAGCAUGCAACUGACACUGAGGCACGAAAGCGUGGGUAUCAAACA